UAUCAUUUUGUAAUUAUUUUGAAAAGAGUUUUUUUUUCUACAUAAGCACAUCGAAUUACAUUAAAAAGCAUUAUUAUUUUUUAUGUUGUUGUGUUCACUUAUUUGUUAGUUCACUUUGUUUCAUUUUGUUUUCUAUUAUUGUUGUCCAGAAUGUCUGUCUGUAAGCUGAAUACAAAGCACGGCAUUUCAUCCAACACUAACGCUGUCUCUUCCAAUUCAACUCUGUUUUUUUUUUCGGCGAUGAUUCCAAAAAUCUAAUCCAAUCGACUGUGUGCAUGUGUGGAGAUUUGUUGGUGGAAACAGCACGUGCAGCAUUAAAAACGGAUGCAGCUUUCAGGAGCAUGGCAUCACAGGAGGGGUCAGGAAAAACAUACAGCUGCAAUAGAUAAACUAAGCUCUACGUGAUGCGAAAUAUGGCAUCAACACACAAAAUCGUUUUGUGGCGCGCAUCGAAACAAACAGUUUAUCCGGCGACCAAAUGCAUCGAUGUUAUACGCGAACAAAAUCACAUAUACUCAUGUGGUUGAUUUAACAUUGUCGAACCGUUUGUUGUCGAUUUGUUGAUGAUGAUCAGGCUUGAACUAAGCUAUUGUUGUGCGGGUCAUGUGCAUAGACGGUGUCAAUAUCCGAUUCUGACAAUAGUCGAUAACGACCAAUUGGACUUUCUUGUGCAUCAGCUGUGCAGCACACAAAUUAUACAACAAUGACGAGUCGGUGAGACGAAAAAUGUUCAACAUUUUUUUUAAAGGAGGAGUUUUUUUAAAUUGUUAUCACAGAUUUUGCACGAUACAGCAAUGGGCAGCAUGUAAUUAUAAUAUUAAAUAUAAAAAUUGUUUCAUUAAUAUUGUUUUGUUAGUAAAAUCAUUUUUUUAAAGUUAGAAUAAAUAAUUUUGAAUUUUAUUAUACAUCAAAAGCAUGUGUGAUACACAUAAUGUAUGAAAUAUUCUAAUGAAUAAUCAAAGAAAAAAAGGGGAAUAAUUCAAAUUUUGAUCUAAAUGCGAUUAUAAAACUUCUAUCGAAUACGUAGAAGUAGGAAGAGAUGACAUAACAUAUCCCGAAUAGAAACCAAGCAAGAUCGGAAAAUAAAAUUCGUUCCACCCGAAUAAAAAUGACUAUCAAACCAAAUAAAAUAGAGCACAGAUAAUAUAAAACCGAAAAAGUUUGUGUUUUAUUGCGAAAAAUUGUAAAUUAAAUAGCCCAAAAACAGAAAGAAUAGUGAUUAUAAUAAGAAAAUGGAAAAUUUUUGUAACAAAAAUAAAACAGAUGAGAGGACAACUUGAGAUACAGAAUUAUGUCAUGAAUAUGUUGUUCAAAGUUCUUUGGAAAAGUAUAC